AGAUUGAACGCUGGCGGCAUGCCUUACACAUGCAAGUCGAACGGCAGCACGGGAGCAAUCCUGGUGGCGAGUGGCGAACGGGUGAGUAAUACAUCGGAACGUGCCCCAAUCGUGGGGGAUAACGCAGCGAAAGCUGUAGCUAAUACCGCAUAAGAUCUACGGAUGAAAGCAGGGGAUCGCAAGACCUUGCGCGAAGUGGAGCGGCCGAUGGCAGAUUAGGUAGUGGUGAGGUAAGGCUCACAAGCC
rnacentral:rRNA from 1 species